AUUGAACGCUGGCGGCAGGCCUAACACAUGCAAGUCGAGCGAGCGGCGGACGGGUGAGUAGCGUCUGGGAACCUGCCUUAUGGAGGGGGAUAACUACUGGAAACGGUACCUAAUACCGCAUACCAUCAGAUGUGCCCAGAUGGGAUUAGCUAGUAGGUGGGGUAACGGCUCACCUAGGCCACGAUCCCUAGCUGGUCUGAGAGGAUGACCAGCCACACUGGAACUGAGACACGGUCCAGACUCCUACGGGAGGCAGCAGUGGGGAAUAUUGCACAAUGGGCGAAAGCCUGAUGGAGCCAUGCCGCGUGUAUGAAGAAGGCCUUCGGGUUGUAAAGCACUUUCAGCGGGGAGGCGUUACCCGAAGAAGAAGCACCGGCUAACUCCGUGCCAGCAGCCGCGGUAAUUC
rnacentral:rRNA from 1 species